CACGUAGGCACCAAGCGUUGUCCGGAAUCAUUGGGCGUAAAGAGCUCGUAGGCGGUUCAGUCAGUCGGGUGUGAAAUCCUUGGGCUUAACCCAAGAACUGCACCAGAUACUGCUGUGACUCGAGUCCGGUAGAGGAGUGUGGAAUUCCUGGUGUAGCGGUGGAAUGCGCAGAUAUCAGGAGGAACGCCAACGGCGAAGGCAGCACUCUGGGCCGGUACUGACGCUGAGGAUCGAAAGCGUCGGGAGCGAACAGG
rnacentral:rRNA from 1 species